AAAGCAUGGUGUGGGCAUUUCCUAAUCAUCUCCUAAAAUCUCUCCCAACUUUCAUUAAUUAACUCUACUUUAAAUGGGGAAAAGGAUGAUAUAGCAUUCCUAAGUUU